rnacentral:sRNA from 1 species
AAAUCCUCCUGCCUCAGCCUCCCAGAUAGCCCAAGCCUAGGUAAGACCCGGCUCUCUCUCCCACCUCUAGAAAACCUCCUACCCUGAGGCCCCACCAUCCUCCCUGCACACAGGGCAGAUAAGGCUCUGUCAGUUCAGGGCUCUAUUGUAGAGCGGUUAUCUGUUGUCACAGCUGGCUCUUCUGAUCCCGGGCCUCGCCAACCCAACCGCCCUUCUCUGGGGUCUGACUCAGUGGCACCCUAGGAAGCUUUGCAUGAACAAAUCAGUUUGCUCUGUAACUUCCAGUCAAUUCCCUCUGCCCUGCUGACGCCAAGAGAACAUCCUGUCCUGGGUAACUGGGAAGAAGUGGCUGGCCUGUGGGAUUAAAAGAGCACCAGCACCAGCACCAGCACCACCACCCAUCUUGGAAGUCUUUUUAAAGAAGUCUGUGUGGGGGUGUAUUCCACAGGUAAGGCCCUUGCCUGGCUGGCAUGAGAUUCUACAUUCCAUCUCCAGCACCAAAUAAGGAGUAAAUAAGUAUAAACAGGAAGUCUGUUUCCCAUGUAGGGACCAGUGCCAGUGACCCUCCCACAGGACCUAUCUUUCUCUAUGUGAUCUCCAGCUGUCACCCCAUCAAGUCCCCACCUAAAGGGGCUUCAGCCACCACCCAGCAGAGCCCAGGACUGGGGCCCAGGAUUCAUCCUGACUUGCCAUCCACCUCCAACUGGGGUUCUGGCACAGGCCACUGGGUUCAGGUUUCAGUGUUUUCCUGUCUAGGGCACUUUCUAUUUUUCAAUACUUUCCCUAUCACAGCCAAAUAACAGAAAAAGGAAAUUGGUUGAACCUCCUAAAGACAGGGGGGGAGGGGGCAGUGAGGGAGGGGAGGAGAAGUGGGGGAGACAGGCCAAGCUAGCUUGGGAAAAGCUGGAGGCCAGGCUGCUGGGUACCACUCCCCCUCCCUUCCCAGGCUGACUCACACCCCCUUCUCCUUCCAGGGCUGACUCAUUGUUUCCCCACAAACAGCAGGCCUGCCAGGCCCGGGUUCUUUCUUAAUGAACAGCCCCAGAGCCUGCUGGAUGCCAUCCUGGCCUCCCAACAGCUGGGCCAGGCCCAGAACAACUGAGUUAUCUCUGCCUGCACCCUGUUGGCGAGGGAGAGCCGCUCCAGGGAGAAGAGAGGGGUGUGGGCAAGGCAGUGUCCUGGGAGCAGCCAUCUAACAGAGCUUGGGCUUCUGGAAGAUUAGGGGGGUGAUGGGGGUGGCCAAGCAAGGCCCAGGCUCCCCAUCUGUAAAAUGUUGGAAGAACAAUCCUGCACCUUAGAGGCGUUUGGUGAAUCAGUGACUUUGCCUUUAUCCCUUCGCGGGUGCAGCAUGCAUGCAAGCAUUUGUGUUGUGCAGAAUAAGCCUUGUGUUCUGCAACCCAGGCUACGUCUUUGACCAUAAGGAUGGCUGUAACUUUUUUUUUUGAGGCCGAGGUCUCAUGCAGCCGUCGGCGUCCAGAAUGGCCUUGACUUCUUAAUCCUCCUGGUUCCCCUUCCCCGAGUGAGUGCUGGGAUUACUGAAUUACACCACCGCCCUCAGG